UACGGAGGGAGCUAGCGUUGUUCGGAAUUACUGGGCGUAAAGCGCGCGUAGGCGGUUACUUAAGUCGGAUGUGAAAGCCCUCGGCUUAACUGAGGAAGUGCACCCGAAACUGAGUAGCUAGAGUACGAAAGAGGGUCGCGGAAUUCCCGGUGUAGAGGUGAAAUUCGUAGAUAUCGGGAGGAACACCGGUGGCGAAGGCGGCGACCUGGGUCGAGACUGACGCUGAGGCGCGAAAGCGUGGGGAGCAAACAGG
rnacentral:rRNA from 1 species